GAUGAAGAACGUAGCGAAAUGCGAUAAGUAGUGUGAAUUGCAGAAUUCAGUGAAUCAUCGAAUCUUUGAACGCACCUUGCGCCCUUUGGCCAUUCCGAAGGGCAUGCCUGUUUGAGUAUCAUGAACACCUCAACUCUUCAUGGUUUUCCGUGAUGAGCUUGGACUUUGGGGGUCUUGCUGGCCUAUGGUCAGCUCCUCUAAAAUAAAUCAGCUUGCCAGUGUUUGGUGGGUAUCACAGGUGUGAUAACUAUCUACGCUUGUGGUUUUCCACCAGGUAACCUUCAGCAGUGGAGAUUCGCUGGAGCUCACAGAUGUGUCUCUCCUCAGUGAGGACAGCUCUUUGAAUGUUUGAUCUCAAAUCAGGUAGGACUACCCGCUGAACUUAAGCAUAUCAAUAAGCGGAGGA
rnacentral:misc_RNA from 1 species